UACGUAGGGUGCAAGCGUUAAUCGGAAUUACUGGGCGUAAAGCGUGCGCAGGCGGUUAUUUAACUCAGAAGUUAAAUCCCCGGGCUCAACCUGGGAACUGCAUUUGAGAAUGUAUAGCUAGAGUACGGUAGAGGGGGAUGGAAAUCCGCGUGUAGCAGUGAAAUGCGUAGAUAUGCGGAGGAACACCGAUGGCGAAGGCAAUCCCCUGGACCUGUACUGACGCUCAUGAACGAAAGCGUGGGGAGCAAACAGGAUUAGAUACCCUGGUAGUCCACGCCCUAAACGAUGUCAACUGGUUGUUGGGUCUUAACUGACUCAGUAACGAAGCUAACGCGUGAAGUUGACCGCCUGGGGAGUACGGCCGCAAGGUUG
rnacentral:rRNA from 1 species